rnacentral:rRNA from 1 species
GUGGGGAAUUUUGGACAAUGGGCGCAAGCCUGAUCCAGCCAUGCCGCGUGCAGGAUGAAGGCCUUCGGGUUGUAAACUGCUUUUGUACGGAACGAAAAGACUCUGGUUAAUACCUGGGGUCCAUGACGGUACCGUAAGAAUAAGCACCGGCUAACUACGUGCCAGCAGCCGCGGUAAUACGUAGGGUGCGAGCGUUAAUCGGAAUUACUGGGCGUAAAGCGUGCGCAGGCGGUUAUGUAAGAAAGAUGUGAAAUCCCCGGGCUCAACCUGGGAACUGCAUUUGUGACUGCAUAGCUAGAGUACGGCAGAGGGGGAUGGAAUUCCGCGUGUAGCAGUGAAAUGCGUAGAUAUGCGGAGGAACACCGAUGGCGAAGGCAAUCCCCUGGGCCUGUACUGACGCUCAUGCACGAAAGCGUGGGGAGCAAACAGGAUUAGAAACCCUUGUAGUCC